rnacentral:rRNA from 1 species
CGCUGGCGGCGUGCCUAAUACACGCAAGUCGAGCGAACAGAAGGGAGCUUGCUCCCGGAUGUUAGCGGCGGACGGGUGAGUAACACGUGGGUAACCUGCCUGUAAGACUGGGACAACUCCGGGAAACCGGAGCUAAUGCCGGAUAGUUCCUCGAACCGCAUGGUUCAAGGAGGAAAGACGGUUUCGGCUGUCACUACAGAUGGACCCGCGGCGCAUUAGCUAGUUGGUGGGGUAAUGGCUCACCAAGGCGACGAUGCGUAGCCGACCUGAGAGGGUGAUCGGCCACACUGGGACUGAGACACGGCCCAGACUCCUACGGGAGGCAGCAGUAGGGAAUCUUCCGCAAUGGACGAAAGUCUGACGGAGCAACGCCGCGUGAGUGAUGAAGGUUUUCGGAUCGUAAAGCUCUGUUGUUAGGGAAGAACAAGUGCGAGAGUAACUGCUCGCACCUUGACGGUACCUAACCAGAAAGCCACGGCUAACUACGUGCCAGCAGCCGCGGUAAUACGUAGGUGGCAAGCGUUGUCCGGAAUUAUUGGGCGUAAAGGGCUCGCAGGCGGUUUCUUAAGUCUGAUGUGAAAGCCCCCGGCUCAACCGGGGAGGGUCAUUGGAAACUGGGAAACUUGAGUGCAGAAGAGGAGAGUGGAAUUCCACGUGUAGCGGUGAAAUGCGUAAAGAUNUUGGGAGGAACACCAGUGGCGAA